AAUCAUCAGAUGUGAGGAGAGGGAGGAGGGGCGUAGUGUUCUGGGAGCAUCAGACAGAACCCAGGCCCAGGGCCCAAGACAAACACCGAGCCCCAAGUUUGGCUUCCGUACCAGACCUGGUAAAUACAACAUGUUUUUACAGGUUGAGAAAUUGUCUGGCUCGUCUCUGAAAUUUUCUCUCUUUCUCCCACUUCUUCUGACUUGGAUCUCAGCGUUCUGUCAGCGUUCUGCCUCGGUGUUGGCCAAGUUCACGUUUGCCAGUUGCCGAGUGGAUAAUAGAUGGUUUGUAAGAUUCGUAAUCUGUUGGGGAGACGGAAACUCAGACAGCCAGGCAGUCGUUGCCUGUGUGAUAAAAAUGACUCUCAUGAGUUUUUACUUGGCCCGGCUGGCCAGGCUUGUACUGAAGGACAGUGGGAACCAAAUGACUUAAUGCCCAGUCAAUCACUGCCUCAGCCACUCUGACCGGGCAGCCCACCGGACACGCCCCCCCCCCCCGCGCGCCCCCCA
rnacentral:lncRNA from 1 species